CCCUUAGAUGUCCUGGGCCGCACGCGCGCUACACUGAGUGUCUGAGAUACGAGUCUGCCUGGUCCGGCAAGGUCUAGGUAAUCGCUAAAAGACACAUCAUGCUUGGGAUAGAUUAUUGCAAAUAUUAAUCUUGAACGAGGAAUUCCUAGUAAGCGCAAGUCAACGGCUCGCGUUGAUUACGUCCCUGCCCUUUGUACACACCGCCCGUCGCUACUACUGAUUGGAUGUUUAAGCGAGGUUCUCGAACUGCUAGCGACUUAGCUUCGGUGAGGUCGCAGUGUGGGAAGUGAACCUAGCUUUGGUGUCUAGAGGAAGUAAAAGUCGUAACA
rnacentral:rRNA from 1 species